CCUACGGGUGGCAGCAGUGAGGAAUAUUGGUCAAUGGACGAGAGUCUGAACCAGCCAAGUAGCGUGAAGGAUGACUGCCCUAUGGGUUGUAAACUUCUUUUAUAUGGGAAUAAAACGUUCCACGUGUGGGAUUUUGUAUGUACCAUAUGAAUAAGGAUCGGCUAACUCCGUGCCAGCAGCCGCGGUAAUACGGAGGAUCCGAGCGUUAUCCGGAUUUAUUGGGUUUAAAGGGAGCGUAGGUGGAUUGUUAAGUCAGUUGUGAAAGUUUGCGGCUCAACCGUAAAAUUGCAGUUGAAACUGGCAGUCUUGAGUACAGUAGAGGUGGGCGGAAUUCGUGGUGUAGCGGUGAAAUGCUUAGAUAUCACGAAGAACUCCGAUUGCGAAGGCAGUUCACUGGACUGCAACUGACACUGAGGCUCGAAAGUGUGGUUAUCAAACAGGAUUAGAUACCCCAGUAGUC
rnacentral:rRNA from 1 species